ACUCUCAUGGAUCAAAAUUCACUUUGAUUCGAUUUCAAUCGACCACCCGAUCGCCAAAUGACUCUGUUCCUUCAGCCUAUAUAUAGCCUCAGAGCUUGCUAAUUUUAAACCCUAGAUCUCAGUUCAUCAAAAUAACCUCCAUUUCGACACUGAAGAUCGAUGAUCCUGGCUAAAGUAUAGGUGAAAGUAAUGGCGAGCAUAUGUUUGUUUUGUUCUACAUUGGUUUGUGACGAGAAGGGGAGGGCAAGGAGAUUAUGUGAGGCCUUUUGCUGAUUGUAGUUGAUGCUAUCCAUGUUUGAUAAAAUAUCAUCUUCAUAAUCAUGUUAACCUUAGAUGUCGAAGGAUUGUGAAGUAUUCUAAUCUAUGAGCUGCCCCAAUGCAUAUCUUAAGACGUUGCAUCCAUGUGAAACAUGUGCAAACAUAAGCUGUGUUGCACAUGUUUCACGUGGAUGUAACUUCUAUAGAUAUGCAUUGAUGCUGUUCGUGGAUGAGAAUAUCUUUAUAAUCCUUUGUGGUUGGAAGCCUAUGAUUUCACUUUCACAUCAUUAUGUCUCAAAGAAGUAGUAGAUUAUACGAGGCUUUGUUACUGAUUGUAGUCGGCGCCAACCAUGUAUGAUAGUGUUAUCCUUGUAAUCAUAUAUAGGCAUCAUUAUGACCUAAAAACCCAAAGGUUUGUGAAGAUAUUCUAGUCCAUGUGCAACCUCAAUGCAUAUCCGGAGGCGUUGUAUCCAUGUGAAACAUGUGCAAGCAAUAACACGUGUUGCUCAUGUUAGACGUGGAUUCAACGUCUCCAGAUAUGCAUUGAGGCUGUUCGUGAACGAGAAUGUCUUCAUAAUCCUUCCUUUGUGGUUGCCGAUGUUUUCGCAUUUUAUUAUGUCUCAUAUUGUAGACUAUUAAGUUUAUCAAGUAGUUGAUGCCAUUCAUAUAUGAUAAAGCGUGCUAACACUUUCAAA